CCUUGCCUUAUCUAGGGCAGAGGCAGCGGGGUGUGGCCAGGUGAGGGAAGGUGACUGCCUGUAGGUAUGCCAGUUGCCUAGGUAAUGCAGGUACUGGGCAGAGACCUCAGGCAGGAGCAUCUGCAUGGAACCAUCCCAGGGACCCACCUUACAAAGAAUACACCCUAAUGACUACAAUUAAUAACAAGAUAUUGUAUGCUUGAGAAUUGCCCAGAGAGUAGAUUUUAAAGUGUCUUACCACAAAAAAAGUGAGACACUGUGUACGUCAAAUGGCCUGCUUAGUCAUACAUCACACCAUAUUGUACAAAAUACAUACAAUUUUCACUCGUCAUUUAGAAAAGGAUGCCUAAAUCUAUCAUAAUAUCUUGCACUUCCUCACAUUCCAUGUCACCUCAGGGAGGUGAGAACAGAAGUAACAGUAGUAAAGAAGCGAGGAGAGAAGAGUGCCCCAUCUUGCACACACACUAGCCUCUCCAGCAAGAUCGUAGGACAUAGAGAAGAUUAAAAACCAUAGAAAUUUGAAGCAGAAGGCACUUUCUCAGCUAGGUGUGGUAGUAGCGCACACCAGUAAUCCCAGGAGUCGGAAGGUGGUAGCAGUACGAUCAUGAAUUGGAAGCAAGCCUGAGUUACAUAGCCCAUCUCAAAAAGAAAAAGAAAUUCUUCACACCAAACAUGUGCUUUACAGAUACUGUGCCAUGAGUUCUAGAAUUCACACAUACUGAUCAUUCCCUCUGCAACUCCCUCUAUCCUCACCCCCACCCCCGCGCAGCCUGGCAUCUCACUAAGUAGUCCUUCCCUUGCUCGCAGAAGCCUAUCAAUGCAGGAGAACUUCAGGACCUGCAGGUGGCAGGUUAAUAUGGAUGCUACACUCAAUCAUUCAUAGGGCAUGAUGUCACUGCUCAGAACAGCACCCCCCUUGUAAUCAGAGUCUUCUGCCUAUGACAGCCAUGCAGCCACACAGACCCCUCGUUAUUCCCAUUGUCUGCCCACAGCAAUUGCAGGAAUAGCAAGGAGAAUUAAGAAUUGGAUCGUGCCUUAAGACUCUAGCACAAGUGUCAAGACAGCAAACAAAUAGAUAUAAAUCACCAAAGUAAAACAAAGUGUAAGACACAGUAGCCAAUGUUCUCCGAAUAUACAGACCUUGAGCCAUAGAAAUUCAGAGCAAGGGGAAAGGUCCUAUAGGGAAAGGAAGAGUGGAGGGGAGGAUAAGAAAGACUAGAAGAAAGGGCUGGGAAUAUGGCCUAGUGGUAAAGUGCUUGCCUCAUAUACAUAAAGCCCUGGGUUCGAUUCCUCA